rnacentral:rRNA from 1 species
CCUACGGGCGGCAGCAGUGGGGAAUAUUGGGCAAUGGGCGCAAGCCUGACCCAGCAACGCCGCGUGAAGGAAGAAGGCUCUCUGGUUGUAAACUUCUUUUAUCAGGGACGAAGCAAGUGACGGUACCUGAUGACUAAGCCACGGCUAACUACGUGCCCGCACCCGCGGUAAUACGUAGGUGGCAAUCGUUCUCCGGAUUUACUGGGUGUACAGGGUGUGUAGGCGGGAGUGCAAGUCAGAUGUGAAACCUAUGGGCUCAACCCAUAGCCUGCAUUUGGAACUGUACUUCUGGAGUGCUGGAGAGGCAAUCGGCAUUUCGUGUGUAGCGGUGAAAUGCGUAGAUAUACGGAGGAACACCAGUGGCGAAGGCGGAUUGCUGGACAGUAACUGACGCUGAGGCGCGAAAGCGUGGGGAGCAAACAGGAUUAGAUACCCCAGUAGUC